ACUUCAGUUCCUACUUCGCCUAAAUAUACCUAAACACGGCCACUUAAUUGUAUAUACUGAAGCCUUCUCAACUAUCUAAACUAUCCUAAAAAACAUAAACCACCGAAGGACGACGAGAAAAUAAAUAAAUAAACAGCCCAAUAAAUAAAUAUGCGAGUAAAUCACAUAUAUGUUUUAAAUAAAUAAAUAGUUUUAAAUCGAAAUAAAUAAAUAAACACUCCUCACACAUAUUCGCCUAAAUAAAUACGAAACUGAAUAAAUAAAUAAUUUCUCUACCAAAAAAUUGCUAUUUCGCUGACCUAUGUAUUUAAUCCUACUUCUAAAAUUGUCUAUAUCCAAUGCUAGCGAGGAUCUUCAGCCCGCGAGAAUAAACUUUUUCUGGUUUUCUCCUUAAUCGACCUUUUGACACAAAACACUAACGUAAACAAAGACAAAUCUUCCUUUGCAGCUACACAAUCUUUUGGGCGAGACGAGAGACAACUGCAAUUCACGGUUGCAGUCGGUGAGUGAACCAGUCCUUUUCCCUCGCAAUUAAUUUCCGCUUCUUUUUUAAACACGGAGUGCCAACUCCUCUUACUCUUUCGUUUUCCUGGGCUCUCUCGAAUCGGGCAACGAUGCUGAUGCCCUGUCGGCACCUCACGGACCACAACUCGAGAGACCCCGAACCUCUCCUUCGAUUCGAUCCGUGGGCCCCUAGAGUCGGACAACGUGGCUGUAGCCCAUUUGGCUACACCAGGACCACAACUCGAGGUAUUCACUCGUCAAAUCUCUCCGAGGUCUCCACGAGUCGGACAACGUGGCUGCAGCCCAUUUGGCUACACCAGGACCACAACUCUGGAGACCCCUGCUGAACUCUCCUCCUCAACGGCUACUAUGGCUGGGGUCUAUUCCCGGCUCACGGACCAGCUGAGUGCUUACUCUCUCCGGCUCACUCUCAGACAGGGUAUCUUGGACCCCCCGUCUAAAACCGAUGCCUUUCGUUUCAAAUUGGGCGCCAUUUGUUAUGGCGCAACUCGUUUUUAAUUUGGGCGCCAUUUGUUAUGAUCCGCCUUUUUGCCGCCCUGGUCUAUCGUUCCCGGCUAGCUCUCGGGGAAGUCAUGGGUGUUUUCGACCCGAUAGCCAGGGGACGGAUUUAAAAAAAAAAAACCUACUUUCUCGCGUGUAACGGACAGAUCUAAUUUUUCUUACACGCGUCUACGUUGGCACUCUCCUCGGCGGGGUCAGUCGGUGUUUCUUUGAUCAUUGCGAGUCCCUCCC
rnacentral:lncRNA from 1 species